ACAACUUUCAACAACGGAUCUCUUGGCUCUCGCAUCGAUGAAGAACGCAGCGAAAUGCGAUAAGUAAUGUGAAUUGCAGAAUUCAGUGAAUCAUCGAAUCUUUGAACGCACCUUGCGCUCCUUGGUAUUCCGAGGAGCAUACCUGUUUGAGUGUCAUUAAA
rnacentral:rRNA from 1 species